rnacentral:rRNA from 1 species
GUCAAGACUCCUACGGGAGGCAGCAGUGGGGAAUUUUGGACAAUGGGCGAAAGCCUGAUCCAGCAAUGCCGCGUGAGUGAAGAAGGCCUUCGGGUUGUAAAGCUCUUUUGUCAGGGAAGAAACGGUUUGGGCUAAUAUCCUGAGCUAAUGACGGUACCUGAAGAAUAAGGACCGGCUAACUACG